GCCGGCGUCUAGUACCGAGGACCCGCAAAGGCCAGGGUGCCUGCCAGAACCAGGACUUGGUGGGCGGCGCCCCUCCCUUUCCGGGCUCCACCUUCACAUCCAUCCCAAGUGUUCGGAUGGAGAAGUGGGAGCCCAGGCCCCUGUGAGCAGCAGAGGGCCUCUGUCAGAUGGGAAAACUGACCCCGGCCGGUGUUGAGGACUUAAUCCCGUGCUGCCAUGGGCUCCCGGGCUCGGGCUCAUGUUUGACUCUCUGUCCGUGACUGGCUACCGGAAUGCCCUGGGAUGACCUAAUUGUCUAGCUAUUGUGUGGGAACCCUAAAGGAAGCCGUGGCAUGGGGAGUGGCUCAAAGUGGAGGCUCCUAAGGCUUGGUGUCUCUAGGAGGAAUAUUAAAAAUCACCCUGUUAACCAGUUCAUUCCAUUCUCAUCUGGCCAGCUCAGAUUGGGAGUCCUUUCCAGUAACAUCUCCACAAGGCACUGCUUGUGGAGAUUUGGAAACACUACUGGUCCAUUGGAUAGAGGAAGCAUGCUCCCCAUUGGAUUCUUCUUUAUAAUUGGAUGGAGGGCUCUAAUACAGAGAAACUGGAUGCUCUGCUAAUCUAGAGGUCGGGAUUUUCACCACCCCAAUAGAAACCUCAUACCCAAGCAUUCUCCAUUUCCCCCUCCCCUUAUCCCCUUAUCCCCUGGCAACCUCAAAUCUCUAUCUCAAUGGAUUUGGCUAUUGCAGGUAUUUCAUAUUCUGAAAUCAUACAAUAUGUGGCCUUUUGAGUCUGGCUUCUUUCUUUCUUUUCUUUUCUUUUUUUUUGCGGGGGGACAGGGUCUCAUUCUGUUGCUCAGGUUGGAGUGCAGUCACGUGAUGACAGCUCACUGCAGCCUCAAACCCCUGGGCUCAAGCAAUCCUCCUGCCUCAGCCUCCUGAAUAGGUGGGACUACAGGUGUGUGCCAAUGUGCCCAGCUAACUUUUUAAUUUUUGUAGAGACAGAGUCAUACUCUGUUGCCUAGGCUCAUCUCCAGCUCCUGGUCUCAAGUGAUCCUCCUGCCUUGGCCUUCCAAAGUCUAGCUUCUUUCACUUAGCAUAAUGUUUGCAAGGUCCAUCUAUGUUGUAGCAUGGAUCUGUACUUCAUUCUUUUUUAGGGCUGGAUAAUAUUCCAUUGUAUGAAUAUACCACAUUUUGUUUAUUCAUUCAUCUGUUG
rnacentral:lncRNA from 1 species